AGAUCUUUUCUGAAUUCUUCGGAUUGGUGGUAGCUUGUUAGUUCUGCAUUCCUUUCUAGGACCUCCUGUUUAAGACUGCUCUCAGUUGUUCCAUUCUGCUGGAGAAAACACAAGAUUGUGUUCUUCAUUGCCUACCUGCAGCUGAGGUGUGGCGUCUUUCGUGUGUUCUAACUCUGGUGUAUGUUCCAGAUCCUUUAGCAUAAUACCCUUUGGUCAUGGAAAUGACAUCAUCAGGGAGACAACUUUGAGGAAAUGCCUGAAGUGACAGUAGAACUAUUUUUUCCUGUUAUCUGCUGAAAGUUGUGCCUACAACCACAGAAGGGACCUAUGAACCGUGUCUACCGCAGAAGGAGUCCUUCCCUGCUGCCCCUUAUUGAGCUGUGGUCUUCUCUACAUGAUUCAAAUUUAAGCAGACAUAGGUAAUGAAGAGGACUCUGAAUAUAGCAGCUGAAAAAGGAAGAAGAUUGGGAUAAGAGUCCAGAUGUCAUAAAACAGAGAGAGGAUGAGGUACAGGAAGCAGUUACGAUUUCUGUUCCAUGGCUCAAAGGGUUCCAAGAAAUAGAUUCCAUUCCACUGGGCAUAUUUUUCAAUUUGGGGUAGGAAUCAAUUAAUUUUUUAAUAAAAUUGAUAUUAUAUGUGUUACAUGUAUAACACACAGGGAAACAACUGAACAUACUGACCUGAGUGGUUAUAAUACCUCACGUAAGGGAUCUUUUGCAGAAACUAUUUUUCGGUGUGUGAUGUGUUGCUUUCUAGAAAGAAUGGGGCUGACAGCUCUUCUGUAAUGAAUAAUGACCUGGGAAGAGAGAGACGGAGAAGCCAGGCAGGAGCAAUUAACAGGGAAGUGAAGUUAUAUGAAACAAAGGAGCUAGAUAUAGAAAAUUUCCAGGAGGUAAUAUCAAUUGGAUUUAAUAGGAUUCCCUGGUGGCUCAGAUGGUAAAGAAACUGCCUGCAAUGCAUGAGACCCCAGGUUUGAUCCCUAGGUUGGGAAGAUACCCUGGAGAAGGGCAUGGCUUCCCACUCCAGUAUUCUUGCCUGGGAAAUCCCAUGGACAGAGGAGCCUGGUGGGCUACAGACCAUGGGGUUGCAAAGAGUCAGACACAACUGAGCAUGUAUGCUUCUUCCAAACAGCAUUAACUGUUGCUUCCUAGAGGUAGCCUACUUGUUUGUAAAGAAUAGCCCACUGUAGAAAUUGAAGUCUGGGAACGUGUUGGGAAGGGUAGAUAGAGAGACUAGAGGAAAUGGUAUAGAUGUGCAGUGGUCUUAAAAACGUUUUCCCACAUGCCAGGACUUAGCUAGCUUCAAAUUAACUUCUAUCAGUAAGCCAGGAGUUGGUAAUACCAGAUAGCAAGGACAUACAGACCCUUGGGAGAAAAAGUUUCUGCAGUGGGUCUGGUUGCUUAUUUCUUGAAUGUCUCCAAGGAAACCAUGACUGACCUGGCAGGCCCUGGGAAUUUGGCCUGUGGAAUGUUUUUUAUUAUUAGUGAUGAUUUUGUGGUGAACACCCGGAGAAAUGGAACACACCAUGCUGGCUUGUCAGGUUCCUUUCCACAACACGGUCACCUGGUUUCACAGUUGGGGACCUGAGUCUCAGUUGCCGUAGCUGAUUGUACCGCAUAAUGUGUGUACUUUAACAGCUCCCCAUAAAAAUGUUGGACCCUGAGACUCAAAUGGGCUUCCACAGGUAGAAAUACUUAACAUAUGCCUGUAGUUUGCUGCUAGACAGAGAGAGAGAGAGAGGAUUCCUUGCAGCUUCAGACCAAGGACAUUGGAAGCCUGUAGUAACCUCUCUGGACUUCCCAGUAUAUCUUUUCUGGUUACUUUGCUCUCUGUCCUUUGCCAUAAGAAGUCUUAGCCAUGUUUGUAACCUGCCAUUGACUCUUGUGAGUGGUUCUGGGCUCACCAAAGACAACAGCCACAUCCAGAGUUCUGAAGAAAUUUAAAACCCAAUUUGUCCAUUCAAGUCUUGAUAGGAUUCACUGAAAAAAGAAUAAUCGACAUACACAAGUAUGUGCUGUGUAUGGAUUUAAACGGAAUCAAAUAUUUGAUCCAUGUCCAGGAGACAUUUAUAGUCUUGUAGGGAUACAGAAGCACGAAUAUAGAGUGUUAGGGAAAUGCUUAUAAGAAUAAGUAUAAAUAAAAUCAAAUUAGGAAUAAAUAUAGAAGCAAGGCAGAAUAAGAAAAUUGGUAUAAGUCAAUUAUGGUUUCUGGAAGAUGGUGUAUAUUCAAGAAGAAAUAUGGGACUACGUUGUCAAAUAAUGGCUUUUUUCCCUUCAUAUCUAUUGUAGCAGUAUGUAAAAAAAUGUGAAAUAAAAGACAUUUUUUCUUGGA